rnacentral:rRNA from 1 species
GCUGCCAGCCCGUACGCGACCCCAGGUCAGGCGGGGCUACCCGCUGAGUUUAAGCAUAUCAAUAAGCGG